GAAAUUCGCCUUCAUGAAGCUGGAAUUGCUAGUAAUGGCAGGUCAGCAUACUGCCGUGAAUACGUUCCCGGGCCUUGUACACACCGCCCGUCACACCAUGAGAGUUGGGAAUACCCGAAGCCUGUGAGCUAACUUAUAGAGGCAGCAGUCGAAGGUAGAAUCAAUGAUUGGGGUGAAGUCGUAACAAGGUAGC
rnacentral:rRNA from 1 species